UAGAAGCCUUGGGAAGCCUUUGAAUGAAGGGU
rnacentral:piRNA from 1 species